AUCACACCUGCCAGACCUGGGUCACCCUUUCCACAUCUGGGAUCACAUUUUCCAGAUCUGGAUCACACCUGCCAGGUCUGAGCUCACACUUUCCAGAUCUGGGAUCACACUUUUCAGACCUAGGAUUACUUUUCAGAUCUGGGAUCACACCUCCUGCCCAGCUGGGUCCAUCCCUGCGACCCGGAAGGCCUGAAAUCCCUUCCCCCACCCUCUCCCCUCCUCAGGGCUCUCCCAGCCAGGAGGGAACACCCCAGGGAGGUUUUCAAACAGCAGGAAAAUUAAGGCAAAGCCUCACUGAGAGGAAGGGCCAACCCACCCUUGCCCAAAUUGGGGAUUUGGGGUGUGUUUGCUGGAAAGACUCAAACAACUACGUGGAUUCUGGUGCUCCCAUCCCUAUGGUACAGUGAAGUUCAAUCCAUUCAGCCAAAAAAAAAAAAAA